GGAUGAAACAAAUCCUUUUGCCACUCAUUGGAUCCACAGCAAUGGCCGCGGUGUGUUUCCCAAUGAUAACAAAUCAAGUUUUAGUCAAACCCGGAGUGCGAGUCUACCAUCGACUAAAAGAGCAACUGAUACUGAGGUGACCAGAUUCUUGACAUCCGGAAAGAGCAUAACAGGACUCUCCAUAGAAGAAGUUGUCAAAGUCAUUCGAGACGCACCGACCGUCUUCAUCGCCACCAUCCAACCAACCACCUCAAUUCAACGACCUUUCGUCGACCCACACGCCAAACCCACAUGUACGGCAUCCUAGAUUAUAACAAAAUGUCUGGAGUUAGAGAGAGUAGAAUGUCCAAUGAAUCAGUAGGAGAAUUCGACGAGCUGGACUCUCAAGUGACGAACACAGUGAAAAAGACUUAUUGAAUCCCGACCAUUCAGACUGAUACUGCAGAUGUAAAGCAGUCUAGACUAGAAACACGCACUUGUCAUGCUCCCGACCGGCUAUCAAGAGCAGUUUUGGGUAGUGAGAAAUCCUUGCCAUCUUAAGCCAGUCAAUUACACCGAGUUGGAGUGGGGAAACGAAGGUGUGAAAAAAAACGACAGAAAGAGUAGGUCGUGUGGAGUGCAUGCCGCUCUCUGGGUCAUGCUGCUUGUGUUGCUGAUUUUCUGUGUGGAAGGACUGACUGACUGACUGGUUGUGGGACGUAAGAUGUUUGGAGUUGGGUUACUUGCUGCAUUUGCAGUGCAUAGCGGAUAAUGUAGUGAGGUGACAAAAGUUGAGUUGCUGUAAUAAAAUAAAAUUGAGUUUAUUUGGAAAUAAAAGUUUAUUUAAAGUGCA